GUUUCGUAUCUAUUUUUUGGUCUAGUGAUAUUCGAAUCAUACGUAGAAUCGCUGUAUAGACUCGCAAGUGAUUUGGCACUCAAAACGAAGUAUUAUUCAACGCUUUUUUCCAUUAGAGACCUUUCAGAAAUAGCUUUAUUUUUGAGGAAAGCAUGGUUAAUUUUUGUUUUGUUUUGAUCAUGCAGUUGCGUGGGAUAGUUCACGUACUUGUCCCGCGAACAUCCCGCACGGAACUGUAGGGAGCCUCCUUAAAAUAGAAAAGAAAA